AUCCUAACUCUGAGUCCUUAUUGGAUAUUUGAAGAUAAGUGCUCUCAGUUGGGAUGA
rnacentral:pre_miRNA from 1 species